CAGCAGCCACGGUAAUACAGAGGGUGCGAGCGUUAAUCGGAUUUACUGGGCGUAAAGCGUGCGUAGGCGGCUUUUUAAGUCGGAUGUGAAAUCCCUGAGAUUAACUUAGGAAUUGCAUUCGAUACUGGGAAGCUAGAGUAUGGGAGAGGAUGGUAGAAUUCCAGGUGUAGCGGUGAAAUGCGUAGAGAUCUGGAGGAAUACCGAUGGCGAAGGCAGCCAUCUGGCCUAAUACUGACGCUGAGGUACGAAAGCAUGGGGAGCAAACAGGAUUAGAUACCCCGGUAGUCCCUGUCUCUUAUAC
rnacentral:rRNA from 1 species